rnacentral:tRNA from 1 species
UGGACUAUGGUGUAUGAGUUGCAUUCGACAUUGUGAAUGUCGCGGAACGGGUGCGAAUCCCGUUGGUCCUCCCA